AGAGUUUGAUCCUGGCUCAGAAUGAACGCUGGCGGCGUGCUUAACACAUGCAAGUCGUGCGCGAAGGUGGCUUCGGCUGCCGGAGAGCGGCGAACGGGUGAGUAACACGUGGGUAAUCUACCUGGGAGCGGGGGAUAACCUGGGGAAACUCGGGCUAAUACCGCAUACGUUGGGAGACUUCGGUCUUUCAAGAAAGCUGGCCUCUAUUUAUAAGCUAGCGCUCCUGGAGGAGCCCGCGGCUGAUUAGCUAGUUGGUGGGGUAAUGGCCCACCAAGGCGACGAUCAGUAGCCGGCCUGAGAGGGUGAUCGGCCACACUGGGACUGAGACACGGCCCAGACUCCUACGGGAGGCAGCAGUGGGGAAUAUUGGACAAUGGGCGCAAGCCUGAUCCAGCAACGCCGCGUGGAGGAUGAAGGUCUUCGGAUCGUAAACUCCUGUCAGACGGGACGAAGGUAGCGGGGCAAACAGUCCCGUUGCUUGACGGUACCGUCAGAGGAAGCCCCAGCUAACUCCGUGCCAGCCGCCGCGGUAAUAC
rnacentral:rRNA from 1 species